ensembl:lncRNA
AUGACAAAUUAUGGGAAUAGGAACUUCACAGGAAAAUACUGGAAACAUAAUCAAAUAGUGUCGUGCAAUACAUCUUAUGGACUGUUUUGUUCAAACAAAGAAAAUUUAUUAGAAGUAUGCCAAAAUCAUCUAAUUCGUGUAGAAUGUUGCAACACAAUAUUAAAAACUACAACUCCCACAGUACCUCAUACCUCUACUACUGUAACACCACCAUCUACAACAACAGGAACAUCUAUUACUACCUCUACAACUACUACAUCAACUAAAAGACCUUUUUGUCAAUGGUCAGAGUGGUUUGACAACAGCCGAACCAGCACAGAUGGUCAAGGACAGGAAAUUGAAUCCAUCAGAAAAUUGUGGAAUGAGAAAAAAAUAUCCUGUGAGAAACCAAACAAAAUUGAAUGCAUGACAACAACAGUAACAUCUACUGCAAGCACUACAACAACUACAGUUUCAACCACGACUUCUACAACUACUACCACUACUACUGUAACAACACCAUCUACAACUACUACAGUGUCAACCACAACUCCUACAAUACCUACUACCAUUACAACUGUAACACCACCAUCUACAACAACAGGAACAUCUACUGCCAGCUCUACAACAACUACAGUGUCAACCACAAAUCCAACAACCACUACCACUACUACUGUAACACCACCAUCUACAACAACAGGAACAUCUUCUGCUAACUUUACAACAACUACAGUGUCAACCACAACUCCUACAACAACUACCACAACUACUGUAACACCACCAUCUACAACAACAGAGACAUCUACAACAACUAGAGUGUCAACCACAACUCCUACAACUACUACCACUACUACUGUAACACCACCAUCUACAACAACAGGAACAUCUACUGCCAGCUCUACAACAACUACAGUGUCAACCACAUCUCCUACAACAACUAUUGUAACAACACCAUCUACUACAACAGGAACAUCUACUGCUAGCCCUACAACAACUACAGUGUCAACCACAACCCCUACAACAACUACUGUAACACCACCAUCUACAACAACAGGAACAUCUACUACUAGCUCUACAACAACUACAGUGUCCACCACAACCCCUACAAAAACUACUGUAACACCACCAUUUACAACAACAGAAACAUCUACUGCUAGCUCUACAACAACUACAGUGUCAACCACAACUCCUACAACAACUACCACAACUACUGUAACACCACCAUCUACAACAACAGAAACAUCUACUACUAGCUCUACAACAACUACAGUGUCGACCACAACCCCUACAACAACUACUAUAACACCACCAUCUACAACAACAGGAACAUCUACUACUAGCUCGACAACAACUACAGUGUCCACCACACCCCCUACAACAACUACUGUAACAACACCAUCUACAACUACAACUACUACAGUGUCAACCACAACUGCUACAACAACUACCACUACUACUAUAACACAACCAUCGACAACAGGAACAUCAACUGCUAGCUCUACAACAACUACACUGUCAACCACAACUACGACCAGCACUACGGAAACACCAUCAUCUGAAAUAGGAGAAUGA